GUAGAAGGAAGAGUCAAAGAAGAAAGAGAGAGAAAGUAAAGACCAUAACCUCCAAUUGACACAAGUUUUACUCUUAUAUAUAGCCCUAAAAACUUGUGAGUUAUUUCCCAUAACUCAACUUUCCUCUGAAACAAAAGAUGUUCAUUGGCCAUUUUGUUAAAAGAUCCCACCUUUUCUAUCCGAUCUUGCAUAAUUCUCAGGUAUAAAUUUCUUAUAAAUACUCAAAUUUGUUUAUUCAUACACUGGAUUCUUGACUGUAGCAAAAAAGUAGUAAGUUCUAAGUUACAAGUAAAUGCUGAAAGCAGUGGCGGACCCAGCUAGGGUCAAGUGGGGGCAGUGGACCCCCAAUCUGAAAAAAAAAUAAAUGAGUUUUUUUUAAAAAAAAGAAAAAGUUACUGUUGGCGACCAUACUUCCCGUCGCUAAUCACCUUUAAAAAAAAAAUAAAAAUAUGUAAAGAGGGCAGCGUGCUGGAGAAGCCAAAAACAAAAACGAACGCUAACCCUAAACCAUUACUGCUGCAUCACCAUUACUCUCUCUUCUCUCUCUAGUCUCGCCUCUUCCAGUCUUCCUUCUCCAAAUCUCCACCGCCAACCGGCACCGGGCACCGGCCAAGUUUCUCCAGUCUUCCAGUCUAGCCUUCGACAUUCGACAAUCGACAGUAAACAGUUCGAGUGUUGUGUUCCAGUUCGACCUUCGAUUAAUCGAUUCCCACUGCUUCCAGCUUCUUCCUCUUCCUCUUCAAUUCCAUACUUCGAUUCGAGCCUUCGACAAUUCCAUACUGUUCGAGCCUUCGAUUCACUGACUGUUCGACUGUUCGAGCCUUCGUCGCUUCCUCUUCCUCUUCAAUUCCAUACUUCGACAGUACACUUCGUCACUUGUGAGUUCCAUGCUUCCGUUACUUAUUUAAUUGUUAAUUUGUAAUUGUAAUUGUUAAAUUGUUUAAUUGUUUCAUAGCUUCAUUAGUUCAUUGUUAAUUUGUUUAAUUGUUUUGUUUCAUAAUAUCAAUCUCUUGCCAUUUUUCUCUUAAUUUUCAAAAGAUUUGAGUUAUAAUGACAAAGAAACCAAUACCCAGUGUUAUCAAUGGAAAUGAGUCAUCUUUGAUUCUUGAUAGUUAAAUUGUUUGUUUGUUAUCAGUUAAAUAUUUAGUUAAAUUGUUUGUUUAAUUGAAUAAUUUGUUUGGUUCAUUGGUUGCAAGUUGUUACUUGAUAGUUUGAAUAAUUAGAUUGAAUAAUUGAGUCAUAUUUUAGAAGUAUUGAGUCAUAAUUGAGUCAUAUUGAAUACCAAGUGGUUUUAAGAAUUCCCCUGCAAAUUCUAGUGUUACAUCAACUCCAUUAAGGUUCUUUAAGCGCCCAUCUCUCCCUCCUUCUCCAGCAAAGCACAUUCGGGCUUUGUUGGCCCGAAGACAUGGGUCUGUUAAGCCUAAUGAGGCCUCAAUCCCUGAAGGGAGUGAAUGUGAUAUUGGAUUGGAUAAGAAUUUUGGGUUUUCAAAACAAUUUUUUGAUCAUUAUGAAUUUGGGGAAGAAGUAGGAAGAGGACAUUUUGGGUAUACUUGUGCUGGUAAAGGGAAGAAAGGUAGCUUAAAGGGGCAAGAUGUUGCUGUCAAAGUCAUCCCCAAAGCAAAGGUUCUUUUCUUUUUGCUAAUUUUUUUGAUUUAUUUUAGUUUCUUGUGUAGUUUUAUUGAGUCUUGUGUGUUUUUUGUCAUAUAGAUUUGUAUGUCAAUGAGGUUUGGGUUAAUUUCUUGAUCUGAUUGCUGAUUAGAAGUAUUAAUUUUGGGUAUUUUAAAUUCCCUUUUGCCUAAAUCAUUGUAUAAUUUUGCAAAGUGGCCUAGAAUUCGCUUUUUUCGGUUUGCAAUGUCUGUUUAUGAUGAAUUUUAUUUGGAUUCAAUCCCCCUCUUUAGUUUGUUUGCUUAAUUAGUUGGUAUUGUCAAGGCUAGAUGAUGAUGACUUUAACUACCCAUUUGGUUGUUGGUAUUAGACUGUGGGAAUGGUAAUGAAAAUACUUCUAUAAUGUAAUACUUGAUAGUUGUUAAUUGAAUGAUUGUUUGGUUACUUACAUUGAGAAGGAAGUGUUUCUACAAGUUUCUGAUGAAAAGAUUAUUGAUCGCUUUAAAAUUAUGAAAACUCGAAGGAUGAAUUUGUAAUUUUCAUUUGAACGCUUGUAUUUUUUUUUUUUAAUAUUUUGGAUUGUAAAACUUUUAACAUCGGAUUUGAUAUUGUAAAUUGUAAAUAUUGUUUCUA